AUGACAGAGUCCAAUCUGCCCGAUGCGCAAGCGGAGUACGAGAAAGGGUUGGCUGCUCUGGCUGCUGGAUUGGCAGGGCGCAAUCUGAUCUAUGAAUCCG
rfam:Ruegeria sp. CECT 5091 genome assembly, contig: 0023